rnacentral:lncRNA from 1 species
UCCAAGACAUUCAUUGCUCAGGUUAAGCCUGGAAAUACCAAAGAUGAUGGGACUUAUCAGCGAUAUACAAUUGUUUAUUACUUUGAAGACAGCGGAGACCAUGACCUUCUUGAGGAACAGCUCCUAAGUAGUUCUCAUGUAGCCAGUCAGCUUUCUGUAGCUGAUACUCCAGGUAGUUGCUGCAUGCUUGGCCAUAUACUUUUUAAAAUGCCCGUUCCCAAAUCUUUUUUUAUUUCUUUUCGCUUGUUCUGUUGCGCAGAGAAACCAUGUUCUUCUCCCAAGAGCCAACUCUGCUUUGAUAAGAAGCAAC